rnacentral:rRNA from 1 species
AUUGAACGCUGGCGGCAUGCUUUACACAUGCAAGUCGAACGGUAACAGGCCGCAAGGUGCUGACGAGUGGCGAACGGGUGAGUAAUGCAUCGGAACGUGCCCAGUCGUGGGGGAUAACGCAGCGAAAGCUGUGCUAAUACCGCAUACGAUCUAUGGAUGAAAGCGGGGGACCGUAAUGCCUCGCGCGAUUGGAGCGGCCGAUGUCAGAUUAGGUAGUUGGUGGGGUAAAGGCUCACCAAGCCAACGAUCUGUAGCUGGUCUGAGAGGACGACCAGCCACACUGGGACUGAGACACGGCACAGACUCCGACGGGAGGCAGCAGUGGGGAAUUUUGGACAAUGGGCGCAAGCCUGAUCCAGCAAUGCCGCGUGCAGGAAGAAGGCCUUCGGGUUGUAAACUGCUUUUGUACGGAACGAAAAGGCUCUGGUUAAUACCUGGGGCUCAUGACGGUACCGUAAGAAUAAGCACCGGCUAACUACGUGCCAGCAGCCGCCGUAAAAC